rnacentral:lncRNA from 1 species
AGACUUUCGGCCGGAUGAGCUCCCCAGGGCGGGGCAGUCAGCGUCGGCUCCUCACCUACCGGGGUCUGAACGCCCCGGGGGCGAGGGGAAGACCCUGAGCUGCACGGACACACGGCACACACGCGCGGGCAGAGCCACGCUCCCAGACCACAGCCACCGUGCACGCCGCGCUCACCGUGCCCGGGAUGUAGUGGAAGAGCUUGUUGGCGG